rnacentral:rRNA from 1 species
CCUACGGGGGGCAGCAGUAGGGAAUAUUGCUCAAUGGGGGAAACCCUGAAGCAGCAACGCCGCGUGGAGGAUGAAGGUUUUAGGAUUGUAAACUCCUUUUGUGAGAGAAGAUAAUGACGGUAUCUCACGAAUAAGCACCGGCUAACUCCUUGCCAGCAGCCGCGGUAAUACGGUGGGUGCAAGCGUUACUCGGAAGCAAUGGGGGUAAAGAGUGCGCAGGCGGGCUUGUAAGUCAGAUGUGAAAACCUGUGGGUUAACGACAGAACUGCAUUUGAGACUAGGAGUCUAGAGUGUGGGAGAGGUAGGUGGAAUGCUUGGUGUAGGGGUAAAAGCCGUAGAUAUCAAGAGGAAUACUCAUUGCGAAGGCGACCUACUGGAACAUUACUGACGCUCAGGCACGAAAGCGUGGGGAGCAAACAGGAUUAGAUACCCGAGUAGUC